UACGAAGGGGGCGAGCGUUGUUCGGAAUUACUGGGCGUAAAGGGCGCGCAGGCGGCCUUAGAAGUCAGAUGUGAAAGCCCCGGGCUCAACCUGGGAAUGGCAUUUGAUACUCUGAGGCUGGAGUACGGGAGAGGAGAGUGGAAUUCCCAGUGUAGAGGUGAAAUUCGUAGAUAUCGAGAGGAACACCGGCGGCGAAGGCGGCCAACUGGACCAACACUGACGCUGAGACACGAAAGCGUGGGGAGCAAACAGG
rnacentral:rRNA from 1 species